rnacentral:rRNA from 1 species
UGCGUAGGUGGUGGGGUAAGUCUCGUGUGAAAUCUCCGAGCUCAACUCGGAAAUGGCAUUGGAAACUACCUUGCUCGAGGGUUGGAGGGGGACUGGAAUACUUGGUGUAGCAGUGAAAUGCGUAGAUAUCAAGUGGAACACCAGUGGCGAAGGCGAGUCCCUGGACAACUCCUGACACUGAGGCACGAAAGCUAGGGGAGCAAACA